UACAGAGGUCUCAAGCGUUGUUCGGAUUCAUUGGGCGUAAAGGGUGCGUAGGUGGCGGGGUAAGUCAGGUGUGAAAUCUCGAGGCUCAACCUCGAAACUGCACUUGAUACUGCCUUGCUCGAGUACUGGAGAGGAGAUUGGAAUUUACGGUGUAGCAGUGAAAUGCGUAGAUAUCUGGAGGAAUACCGGUGGCGAAGGCGGCAUCCUGGACCGACAUUGACGCUGAACGGCGAAAGCUAGGGGAGCAAACGGG
rnacentral:rRNA from 1 species